rnacentral:rRNA from 1 species
UACAGAGGUCUCAAGCGUUGUUCGGAUUCAUUGGGCGUAAAGGGUGCGUAGGCGGUGCCGCAAGUCAGAUGUGAAAUCUCGGGGCUUAACCCCGAAACUGCAUUUGAUACUGCGGUGCUCGAGGACUGGAGAGGAGACUGGAAUUCACGGUGUAGCAGUGAAAUGCGUAGAUAUCGUGAGGAAGACCAGUGGCGAAGGCGGGUCUCUGGACAGUUCCUGACACUGAGGCACGAAGGUCAGGGGAGCAAACGGG